rnacentral:tRNA from 1 species
AAGGAUUUAAGUUAAUGAAACUAUUAGCCUUCAAAGUUAAAAUUAGAAUUUUUCUAAGCCUUA